rnacentral:rRNA from 1 species
AACGUUCGUAGCCGGCUGAGUAAAUGCUUGGGUAAAUCGUGCCGCUUAACGGUACGAAUUCCGGGUAGACUGCUCAGCUUGAGACCGGGAGAAGCUAGAGGUACUCCUGGGGUAGAGGUGAAAUUCUGUAAUCCUGGGGGGACCACCAGUGGCGAAGGCGUCUAGCUAGAACGGGUCUGACGGUGAGGGACGAAACCCUGGGGCGCAAACCGGAUUAGAUACCCGGGUAGUCCAGGGCGCAAACGCUGCUUGCUUGAUGUUAGCUGGGCUCCGGGCUCAGCUAGUGUCGGAGAGAAGUUGUUAAGCAAGCUGCCUGGGAAGUACGAUCGCAAGAUUGAAACUUAAAGGAAUUGGCGGGGGAGCACAGCAACGGGUGGAGCGUGCGGUUUAAUUGGAUUCAACGCCGGAAAACUCACCGGAGGCGACGGUUACAUGAAGGCCAGGCUGAUGACCUUGCCUGAUUUUCCGAGAGGUGGUGCAUGGCCGCCGUCAGUUCGUACCGUAAGGCGUUCUGUUAAGUCAGAUAACGAACGAGACCCUCAUCCUUAAUUGCUACUGAUUACUUUGGUAGUCAGGCACAUUAAGGAGACCGCUGGCGAUAAGUCAGAGGAAGGCGAGGGCAACGGUAGGUCAGUAUGCCCUGAAUCUUCCGGGCUACACGCGCGCUACAAAGGCCAGGACAAUGGGUUUCAACACCGAAAGGUGACGGUAAUCUCGAAACCUGGUCAUAGUUCGGAUUGAGGAUUG